AUUAUUAAGCGGAGGAAAAGAAAGCAAAAGCGAUUUCCCAAGUAACGGCGAGUGAACAGGAAUAAGCCUAGCGCUAAGGCUCAAUAGGAUGGUUGGCAACAAUCGUCGUUUCGAAAAGCUAUUGAGCGGUGCAGCGUUACAAACCAUGAUGUUUAGUGAUAUCAUUGGUAGUAAUGGGAAACCAUUGCUACUCCUAGCCUAGCAUGCAAGUUCCAUUGACUUGGACUAAUUGCAAAUGACUAUACACUUGGGGCAACUUGAGUGUUUGGUUGAGCCAAAGUGGGUGAAAGCCCUAUACCGUGCAGGCAUUGGUAUUACGAAUUGUGGAUGGAGCCGCAAGGUUUCAAAUUUGUUAGAGUCGAGUUGCUUGAGAGUGCAACUUAAAGUGCGAGGUAAACUACUCGUAAGGCUAUGCAAUACGGCUACGACACCGAUAGCAAACAAGUACCGUGAGGGAAAGUUGAAAUAGAACUUUGCAGAGAGAGUUAACAGGGCGUGAAACCGUUAAUUGGCAAACGAAUCGGAGCCACGAAGUCGUUUCGCUGAUAAGUUGGGCCGAGUUCAGUUCAAGAGCAAAACUCUUGAGCGUAUUCUCGUAGUCUAACCUAAAAAUCAUUGUAAGCGUACACUGCAACCAGUUAGACAAUUGGUGAUGGGCACAGUUAGGAGACGAUUUAUCGGCUUCUAACGCAGCAUUUGUUUACUCAGACUAGUAGUAGCGUUGUGCUAGCAAUAGUACUUGCGUUGCUGGGUUUGUUGUAAGUGAACUAUCGCCAAAUACUGACUGGCAAAAUGAAAAUCGCUUUUUAAGCGUUGAAUAAAAUGCAAUUGCUUAUAUUUAAGUCUACAUGUUUAACUAUKAGGUUUAAGCUCAGCAUUUUUAAAUUUGGACUUGCUUGCUACCAAUGGGGCAACUCUUGGUGCUUGUAUAGAUUCAUCUAAUUGGGUGUUGACUUGACUUUAUACGUUUAAAUGUGCUACGAUAGGAUUUAAAUAUAAAGUAAUUCGCAAUUAAUUGGCAGUGAGUAGGUCGGCUUUCCGAACGACCCGUCUUGAAACACGGACCAAGGAGUCUAAUUAGGCAUCAAGUCGAUCGGUCUUGAAUAGGCCAGACUUAGGGGAGCAAUCCCUUUGAUUGAAGGCGUAGAGAAAUCAAAUCAUGUGAUCAUUUUGGCAAAAACAGCCUUGAUGCGCAACAUGUGCCUGCUCGUAUAGCAAUGUUACUAUGUAACUUGCUGGGCGGAGCAAAGAGAUGCCUGAUUGGUACCCGAAAGAUGGUGAACUAUGCUUGGGCAAAUUGAAGCCAGAGGAAACUCUGGUGGAGGAUUGUAGCGAUUCUGACGUGCAAAUCGAUCGUCAGACCUGAGUAUAGGGGCGAAAGACUAAUCGAACCAUCUAGUAGCUGGUUCCCUCCGAAGUUUCCCUCAGGAUAGCUAGCGCUCGUUUAAAUUAGUUUCAUCUGGUAAAGCGAAUGAUUAGAGGAAUUGGGAGCGAAACGCUCUCAACCUAUUCUCAAACUUUAAAUGGGUGAGAUGUGCGACAUGCUUAAUUGAUGCCGCGUUUUGAAUAGAUUGGGCGCUAAGUGGGCCAUUUUUGGUAAGCAGAACUGGCGAUGCGGGAUGAACCGAAAGCAAAGUUAAAGUUGCCGAUAAUAGUAAUGAAAAUUAAAUUAUUAACUACACUCAUGAGAUCCCAUAAAAGGUGUGACCCGCUGAAGACAGCAAGGAUGUGGCCAUGGAAGUUGGAAUCAUCUAAGGAGUGUGUAACAACUCACUUGCCGAAGCGCGUCGCCCUGAAAAUGGAAGCAGCUCGAGUGUUGAACUCAUACUUUGCCGUUGAAACAGAUGUUUUAGUUAACAUUUGCUAGGUUUCAACGUGUAGGAGGGUUGUGUUGGUAGCAUUGAAGGGUAUGAGGGAGUGAUCCUGCCUGGAGCUGCCAAUAGUACAGAUCUUGGUGGUAGUAGCAAAUACUCAAGUGAGACCCUUGAGGGCCAAUGUGGAGAAGGGUUCCAUGCUAACAGCAAUUGAACAUGGGUCAGUCGGUCCUAAGAGAAUGGCGAAAGCUAUUUCUGAAUCAAAGGCGGUGUUUAGAUAAAUAAAUGUUAAAAAUGUUGCAAAAUAUCUAGCUAAUGGUAGCCCACAAUAUAAUAGUMAUACAAAAGGCUUCUUUUGAAUUCAAAAAGUUGUAGGUUUCAACUAGUUGAAUAUGUAUAUAAAGCAACACAAACAUCUUAACAAUAUCACCGUAUGACUCGAAAGGGAAUAAGGUUAAUAUUCCUUAACCAAGAUGGGGAGAUUAUCGUUGAAUUGUGCUUCGGUAUGGUUCAAUCGAUAUUGGCGGCAACGCAAACAAGCGCGUCGACGCCGUCGGCAGAAUGGGGAAGAGUUGUCUUUUCUUUCUAAGUUUACUUUGUUUUUAAACGAGUCCCUGGAAUCGAUUCACUCGAAGAUAGGCGAUGUAGUAAACGUAAAAUCAUACGGUUCUAGUAUGAUCCCAAUU
rnacentral:rRNA from 1 species